rnacentral:rRNA from 1 species
UACGGGGGGGGGCAAGCGUUGUUCGGAAUUACUGGGCGUAAAGGGCUCGUAGGCGGCCAACUAAGUCAGACGUGAAAUCCCUCGGCUUAACCGGGGAACUGCAUCUGAUACUGGAUGGCUUGAGUUCGGGAGAGGGAUGCGGAAUUCCCGGUGUAGUGGUGAAAUGCGUAGAUAUCGGGAGGAACACCAGUGGCGAAGGCGACUACCUGGCCUGUUCUUGACGCUGAGGCGCGAAAGCUAGGGGAGCAACGGG